rnacentral:rRNA from 1 species
GAUGAACGCUGGCGGCGUGCCUAAUACAUGCAAGUCGAGCGAACGGACGAGAAGCUUGCUUCUCUGAUGUUAGCGGCGGACGGGUGAGUAACACGUGGAUAACCUACCUAUAAGACUGGGAUAACUUCGGGAAACCGUAGCUAAUACCGGAUAAUAUUUUGAACCGCAUGGUUCAAAAGUGAAAGACGGUCUUGCUGUCACUUAUAGAUGGAUCCGCGCUGCAUUAGCUAGUUGGUAAGGUAACGGCUUACCAAGGCAACGAUGCAUAGCCGACCUGAGAGGGUGAUCGGCCACACGGGAACUGGGACACGGUCCAGACUCCUACGGGAGGCAGCAGUAGGGAAUCUUCCGCAAUGGGCGAAAGCCUGCCGGAGCAACGCCGCGUGAGUGAUGAAGGUCUUCGGAUCGUAAAACUCUGUUAUUAGGGAAGAACAUAUGUGUAAGUAACUGUGCACAUCUUGACGGUACCUAAUCAGAAAGCCACGGCUAACUACGUG